rnacentral:tRNA from 1 species
GGGGAUGCAGCUCAGUAGUAGAGCGCAUGCUUUGCAUGUAUGAGGUCCUGGGUUCAAUGCCCAGCAUCUCCA